rnacentral:rRNA from 1 species
AAAGCUCAAAUUUAAAAUCUGGCGGUCUUUGGCCGUCCGAGUUGUAAUUUAGAGAAGCGUCACCCGCGCUGGACCGUGUACAAGUCUCCUCGAACGGAGCAUCAUAGAGGGUGAGAAUCCCGUCCAUGACACGGACUACCAGGGCUUUGUGGUGCGCUCUCGACGAGUCGAGUUGUUUGGGAAUGCAGCUCAAAAUGGGUGGUAAAUUCCAUCUAAAGCUAAAUACAGGCGAGAGACCGAUAGCGAA